rnacentral:lncRNA from 1 species
UUUUUUUCAAAUUAUGAUUUUAUAUUACAUAUAAAGUAUACACACAGGUUAUUGGAUACAAAAAGACAGACACUUCAUACUUCAUCAAGGUACCCUUGCAUGACUAUACUUCAUGUAUAUGGAGGUGUAAAAGGGUGGGUACGAGAAAAGUUAUUCAUUUGGAGAUAGACAUUUAUUUGGCCUAUUGGCAAUAUAGAUGCAGAGGAAAUAUUUGAGGAGGUAUUGUUUGACAGGAUUGGGCAGCAAACUUUAAGGGCUCGGAUGUUUUCAACCCGCGCAAAAGAUUUAAAUUGAUUGCGUUUAUCUAUACUAUCGUAUAAAGCAUUUCACAAGGGUUCCAACCAAAUUUAAAUAAUUGCAACAUAUUAUGCUUAUAGUACAACAACUCAAUGAAGUUAGUAAAGGGAAUUAGUCUUUCUACAUGAGUA